rnacentral:rRNA from 1 species
UAGGGAAUCUUCGGCAAUGGGGGGAACCCUGACCGAGCAACGCCGCGUGAGUGAAGAAGGUUUUCGGAUCGUAAAGCUCUGUUGUUAAGGAAGAACGAGUGUGAGAAUGGAAAGUUCAUGCUGUGACGGUACUUAACCAGAAAGGGACGGCUAACUACGUGCCAGCAGCCGCGGUAAUACGUAGGUCCCGAGCGUUGUCCGGAUUUAUUGGGCGUAAAGCGAGCGCAGGCGGUUAGAAAAGUCUGAAGUGAAAGGCAGUGGCUCAACCAAUGUAGGCUUUGGAAACUGUUUAACUUGAGUGCAGAAGGGGAGAGUGGAAUUCCAUGUGUAGCGGUGAAAUGCGUAGAUAUAUGGAGGAACACCGGUGGCGAAAGCGGCUCUCUGGUCUGUAACUGUCGCUGAGGCUCGAAAGCGUGGGGAGCGAACAGG